rnacentral:rRNA from 1 species
CUACGGGGGGCACCAGUGAGGAAUCUUGGACAAUGGGCGAAAGCCUGAUCCAGCCAUGCCGCGUGAAUGAUGAAGGCCUUAGGGUUGUAAAAUCCUUUCAGCAGGGAAGAUAAUGACGGUACCUGCAAAAGAAGCCCCGGCUAACUCCGUGCCAGCAGCCGCGGUAAUACGGAGGGGGCUAGCGUUGUUCGGAAUUACUGGGCGUAAAGCGCAUGUAGGCGGAUUGGUCAGUCAGGGGUGAAAGCCCGGAGCUCAACUCCGGAAUUGCCUUUGAUACUGCCAGUCUAGAGUUCGGGAGAGGUGAGCGGAAUUCCGAGUGUAGAGGUGAAAUUCGUAGAUAUUCGGAGGAACACCAGAGGCGAAGGCGGCUCACUGGACCGAUACUGACGCUGAGAUGCGAAAGCGUGGGGAGCAAACAGGAUUAGAUACCCUGGUAGUC